UCAACCGCCAAGAGUCAGUUGGCGGGGGUCUGGGUGAGCCGGGGGGGACCCGGGCAAUGGGGGCUUGCGAACCUGGUCAGGCCGGGAACGGAGCAGCCAUAAGCAUCGCCUUCAUGUGCCCGGGAGAACCUCCCCGGCUCUCCCAGUCCCCUGCGUUUGA
rnacentral:misc_RNA from 1 species